CUGGUGGCACCAGGCACCGCUUCCCAAGGAGCUGCUGGAGGAUGGACUGCCCUGAAUUCCUUGUGAACAACAAGAGACUGAUGAGGGCCAAGAGGGAGAAGCUGACAACCACCAGCCACACCUUGAACAGGGACCUGCUGCUGCUACCUGAGACCCUUGAUGUCCAUCUGUACCUCUCCAGGAGGCCUGCUCUGCGU